rnacentral:rRNA from 1 species
GACGAACGCUGGCGGCGUGCUUAACACAUGCAAGUCGAACGGUGAAGGGGUCUACUUUUGUGGGCCCUGGAUGAGUGGCGAACGGGUGAGUAACACGUGAGUAACCUGCCCCCUUCUUCUGGAUAACCGCAUGAAAGUGUGGCUAAUACGGGAUAUUCUGGGUCUGUCGCAUGAUGGGUCUGGGAAAGAUUGCGCCUUUGGGUGUUUUUGGUGGGGGAUGGGCUCGCGGCCUAUCAGCUUGUUGGUGGGGUGAUGGCCUACCAAGGCGGUGACGGGUAGCCGGCCUGAGAGGGUGGACGGUCACACUGGGACUGAGACACGGCCCAGACUCCUACGGGAGGCAGCAGUGGGGAAUAUUGCACAAUGGGCGCAAGCCUGAUGCAGCGACGCCGCGUGAGGGAGGGAGGCCUUCGGGUUGUAAACCUCUUUCGCCAGUGAAGCAGGCCUGCUCCUUGUGGGUGGGUUGACGGUAGCUGGAGAAGAAGCGCCGGCUAACUACGUG